rnacentral:misc_RNA from 1 species
GAGGAAGAGGAAGAAGAAGAAGAAUGGUUAACAUUAUGCAGCAACUGACCUUCCUCAAGAGAAAUCACGUUUUUCAACAAUUCAUCUAACUUCAUAGCAUUCAAAGGCUUUCCUACGUGUCCCAGCUGAUCAAAGGUUAGAUUAUACAAGGACCCUUGUCUGGCCAGAUUAGGGAACUGGUCCUCCUGAGCUCUAUUUGGUGACACCAUUGUUCUAUUAUAUAUACAUGCACCAGUUAAUGGAUGAAGAUUAUCCAAGAAAUUAUGAAAAUUCAGCACCAAUGAAUCAGAUCAAAUCAAGUUAAAAUAUCAGUGAACAAAGAUAACGCAAAUGAACCUUCUUUUAUUGUGUGUAUACCAAGAAAAGGGUUAGAAGAGAAACACUCCCAUUUCGAGAAAUAGGAUGGUGAAAAUGGAGGAUUGAAGGACAUAAAAGAAAAAGGAAGGUGGAGAAGCGAAAUCUGAGGCCGCCAGAAAGAUCGAAGAACCCGUUGGAAAGGAUCUGGCAGAAAUGGGUGGAUCCUAUUUUUAGAUUGAGAGAGAGAGUGAAAGUGAGACUCUUCUAAACAGUUAGGCCUAAUUAUCUUGCUUAUUUUGCGGGAUAUAGAGAUGAAUUGCAAACAUAUUUUAUUAUCUAUCUUCUACUUAAACG